CUCGAUUGUUUUCUAAUCGGGUGACGAGGGUACAUUCUCUGCUCCUUUUAACAGUUCUGCUGUGUUGUAGGAGGAAGAUGGACCAAACUGAUGACAGCUACAGCAGCCACAGCAGCACCAGUGAGUUCCACCUAUCUCCACUCCCCAGAACCAGUCAGUCAGAUGUGUGAAGAAACAAGGUUAAAGAACAGAAGAGACCGAGACUGUGACCUCUGGCUACCCAUAAACCAGCCAAUAGUGAUGCAGAAAUGGCCUGUUAAGUGCAAUGAAAUACUGUGUUUACUCCACAGGGGUUGAUAAUGAUAACAUUUUCACUGAUUCUAAAGUACUGCAGCCUUUAUUCAGUAUGGUACCAUUGUUUUUUUAUACAACUGAGAGCUCGAAACCCAAAUUGAAUAUGAUCUGUUCUUUAUUCUCUUCCCUUGUGGCAUGAUUGUGUCAAGAUUCCCCUCAUUGUGAAAAAGUUGUAUUUCCUACAUAUUGCUCAAUACAGAAAUUAUUUUCACAGUGACACCGAGUUUUUGCUAUGACAACCUCAUCUAAAGUAUGGCCAUGCACGAUGAGACAACCAGGAUGUAAUGUUGUUUUUAAGCAAGAGAGGGCGACAAUAAGAACCAGUGAGUGAAGAAAAACUAUAUCUGCAAAAACUAUUAUACCUAUUGGAGUAACUCAAGAAUGGUAAAAGUUUGUAGAGGAACUGAGCAGAAGUUUGUUGCGUAGAAAUAAUAAAUUAGAGAAAUCCCAGCGGAAUGAAAAUUACAAUACUUUAUUAGCCUAUCUAAAUUAAGAAACUGACAUUUAGGACAUAUUAAAUAAAAAAAAUGUUAAUAUAUUCUAAUCAGGUUAUAAGAACUAAUUUACCCAUAGGCAAUCUGAAGUAAAUUCAUGUUUUACUAUUGUUUUGCUUUACAACACGCAUAGAAGAAUGUUAUACAAUAUAUUGAACACAUUUGGACUGAAAAAUAUGGCCUGGUCCGGCAUUGACCCACUCACUAGAGUCGACCAUGUCUGAUGUAAAGGCAGUAUACUGUCCUCCUCUCCACUGCCCUGUAUACUAUCAUGUCUGCUGUAAAG